CAACACAUUUGAAAAGAAAAAAAUAAAAGGAAACUGUUUUCUCUUAAUUCUCCUCCCCACUCCCUUUCUUUCCCUUUGAAACCACAAUCACACCCCCGAGUAGUGCUCCUCCAGAUGAGAGAAGCCAUUCACAGGGUGAAGGGAAGGGCUGGUGGCGUAGAUUCCCACACAAGCUCCGAGUCUGCUCGGCUGGGGAGACCAUUUUCUCAAUGAACCUCUAAGAUGGGGACUCAGUAGUGAGUUGGGUCUGCAGCUGUUGUCUGCUUCUUUUUUCACAUCAGAGAAACUUGAUACCCAAACCACACAUCUGAAAUUUUUCCAUGGACGUGUAAAUAUUGCCUUUCAAUCACUUGCAAAUCAUUUUCAUCUGGCACAGAUGUCAGGGAAGCCACGAGUCAAGCUAAGCAGAGACUGUCAAAGAGGGUGACGCACAAAGGCUCUCCUCUCCACGGGCUCAGGGGGUAUCUUUGGAAAACUUACAGAAACAGCCUCACGCCUCAGCUUCUCUCAUCUGCACAGUGGAAGCAGUCAUCUCAAGGCUCACACAAAACCUGGAAUUACUACAGGAUGCUCUACUUAUUUGAGCAAAACUUAGCUCCCCCAGCUUUCUAUCGUGGGGAUUCCUGGAGCUGCUGCUGAUAGACUCUAGAGUUUGCAUGGUGCAAAG